rnacentral:sRNA from 1 species
GUCAUAUAACUAAAGACUAUGCAUGCAUAUCAUUUUAAAGUUAGCUUUAUACUCAAAAGUUAGAUCAUCUCCAUUGGAAGUAUCUCAAUGAGAUACCAAAAAAAAA